rnacentral:rRNA from 1 species
CCUACGGGUGGCAGCAUUGAGGAAUAUUGGUCAAUGGCCGGAAGGCUGAACCAGCCAUGCCACGUGAAGGUCAGUGCCCUAUGGGCGUUACAAUUCUGUUGUGCGGGAGCAAUAAUGGUCACGUGUGGCCAGACGAGAGUACCGUACGAAUAAGCAUCGGCUAACUCCGUGCCAGUAGCCGCGGUAAUACGGGGGCUGCAGGCGUUAUCAGGCGUUUUUGGGUUUAAAGGGUGCGUAGGCUGUGAGGUAAGUCAGCGGUGAAGUGCCCCCGCUCAACGGGGUGAAGUGCCAUUGCUACUGCCUUGCUGGAAUGCGGAUGCCGUGGGAGGAAUGUGUGGUGUAGCGGUGAAAUGCAUAGAUAUCACACAGAACACCGAUUGCGAAGGCAUCUCACGAAUCCGCGAUUGACGCUGAUGCACGAAAGCGUGGGUAUCAAACAGGAGUAGAUACCCCAGUAGUC